CGAUGAUGCUGAUGCUCUCCAGGACGGGAUUCGGCAUCUGGGCGCACAUGAACCUGAGGGGGAAACACAGAGUUGAGAGAUGCAGAAGCACAGAGCGGAGAAAACGAAAAGAGUGGGAAACGCUUCCUCUCUACAAUGAAUGCGAGGGUUAAUAUUCCAUGUCAGACCUGUCCUGCGAUUGGAAAUCUGGCUCCGACUCCUGACAGACGGUCUUCCUCUGCUGCUCCACCUCUUGACCUAUGGCCUACCUCUGCACGGUGACCUCAGCUUCCCACAGAUAAGUGGAAAAGGGGCCAGCACGCACGGCAGAUGUGAGGUUAGAGCUGGAUCAUUUUUCCACAUUUACUUCCUGUAAAAUCUUGCCUUGUGCGGGUGAACAAAUGAUCUACUACGUGAACGUCCGCAUGUGUCUUCAUGUAUAGUUGUUAUGUAAGACCGUCAGGCCCUAUCUCAGCAAAAUGCCGCAUCAGCGCCCUGGAGCAACAGGCCUUCGACAGGACAGGACGGAUCUGGUCAGUGUGGGCCAGGGUGGGCCACUGCGGAACUUAAACUUUGCUGACUCCAGUUCUACUGACUAAUGGCUUACAGGCAGCACAGAAAUAUACUGGAGCCUUCUGGCUGAAAUACACUUUAAAAUAAAAAGGAACAAGCGCCAGCUGAAUGUAGAAAACAAGUAUUCAGUUACUUGUAUGGAAAAUUCCGUCGCAAAAUCAGUGCAAAAUUAACGAGAGACAAUCAGAAAUGAGCACGGUGAAAAUUUUUAAAACUGAAAAAGUUAGCAGACUAAGUGGGUACACCAUCUCGUGUGAGCACAAGUUGUAGGUGUGAGGAUCACUUGACUGAUUCGUGUUUACUCUAUUCAUAAAUAAGUGGCUACACUGAGGGCAUUUCCCACAGAGCCUGGUAGUUAAAGGCUAAUCUGCAGGCUCCAUGACUAUGGUUAAGACGCCUCAAAUGAGUCAAAUAAUAAUCUGACCCCUUGUAUCAGCCGUCUACAUUUAGAAUUCAAAUCAGAAUUAGAAUUUAUGAGUAAAAAAAACACAGUAAAACAUGCAACAGUUGAAGGUCAGUCCAAAUAGUUGUAUCCCCCUGACAGGAAAAUGGAAAUUGAGUCCAGUCCAAACUUGGAUGUCUCUCUGGGUCUAGUUUUACGAACUGUAAACCUGUUCUUGGUUGUGAGCCCUUUGAGCCGUUCAUACAGGUCAUACACCUGUUGUUGUCAUAUUCACAUAUCCUGUUAGGCAUGAUCAUGUGACUUCUAAGCUAACAUAUCACCACUCAACCACGCAUUUGCCUCUGAGACAAAGAUGCGGACUGAAUUCAAAGAGAACCACAAAUCCCAUGAUACCUCAGGUCUGUUUCCAGUGUCCAGCAGUUUGACAAAUUAAGCUUCAGGGUACAAUAGCCUUUGUUUAUGCACAAUCUUAUCUGGCUUCCCCCCCCAAGUCUGUAAUAAACCCCAAGUAGUGAAUGUGUCUGUGAAGUCAAACAGCCAUCUAAUCUUUUGAAGCAUUACUUCAGUCUUUUGAGUCUGAGUGAUUUCACUUGGCAGAAGUUUGCACUCGUUCCAGAUAAGACAAACGCUUCUUUAUAAUUGAAGGAAGGGAUGUCAAUAGAUAAUGGAAAAUAGGCUGAACUUGGGAAGUGUCAACUUGGGAGUGUUUGGAUUACAAUAGCAUAUGGCACAACGACGUGCAUGAGAUUUGGAUCACGACUGCCGCCAAGCUAAUCAUUUGUGCAUCCGUUUGGCAGGUUAUUCAGGUAUUCUUCGGAAGAGAGGGGCAUAUAUGCACACCCUCUGCAGGCAGUAACACCAUCAACAAUCUGAUGUCACCAUACAUCUCCCUAAAGGACCCCAGAUUCAGAUCUUUUAACUUUCCUAAAGCCUGCCAGCUCUGAUUCAUGGCACCUUGCACUGUGAGCUGCACAGGGAGGAGCUACUUUAAUGUAAUAAAAGACUGGGAGACUUUCCACAAGUGUCCCUGGCAUUCCCUUUCUUUAAACACAA